UACGUAGGGGGCAAGCGUUAUCCGGAUUUACUGGGUGUAAAGGGAGCGUAGACGGAAUUGCAAGUCUGAUGUGAAAAUCCGGGGCCCAACCCCGGAACUGCAUUGGAAACUGUAUUUCUAGAGUGUCGGAGAGGCAAGUGGAAUUCCUGGUGUAGCGGUGAAAUGCUUAGAUAUCACGAAGAACUCCGAUUGCGAAGGCAGCAUACCGGCGCGCAACUGACGCUCAUGCACGAAAGCGUGGGUAUCGAACAGG
rnacentral:rRNA from 1 species